rnacentral:rRNA from 1 species
GAUUUGUUUGCUGCCGGUAGUGACACAAGCUCUAACACAGUGGAAUGGGCAAUGACUGAGCUUCUUCAAAACCCAUCAUCAAUGGCUAAGGUUUGUGACGAGCUUGCACAAGUUAUCGGCUCAAGAAGGAACAUUGAAGAAGCUGAUAUUGUCCGGUUGCCCUAUCUCCAAGCUGUCAUAAAAGAAACUUUUCGACUCCACCCUCCUGCCCCACUACUGUUGCCACGCCAACCAGAGAUGACUGUCAAAAUAGCAGGUUGCACAAUACCUAAAGGUUCACGUGUGUUCAUAAACGUAUGGGCGAUAGGUCGAGAUAAAGAUGUAUGGACUGAACCUGAGAAGUUUAUGCCCGAGAGGUUCUUGGGUUCAACGAUUGACUUUAGGGGUGUGGAUUUUGAGCUCCUUCCAUUUGGUGCUAGGCGUCGGAUUUGCCCAGGAAUGGCAUUGGCAAUUAGGAUGGUGCAUGUGAUGCUCGCUUCAUUGUUAAAUCAGUUUAAGUGGAGUCUCCCUGUUGAGCUGGAACGUGAUGGGAUUGAUAUGGAUGAUCAGUUUGACCUGACGCUAGCGAAGGUUGUGCCCCUUUGUAUUAUAGCACCACCCAUUUGA